UCUAAUGUUUAAUCGAACAAACCCCCGCACGUUAGUGGAUCGGGCGCUUCCUCCAGAGCAGCAGGCGGCGCUGCGCAGCUUCACACAACAGCAGAAGAAGAGUCCUGCGUGAUGGGCACGCGCUCGAAGCCGAGAAACAACAGUCAUUUACAAUAUUGGCGUUUUCUUACAUUGUUUUUAACGGUUUGUGUAUUUGCUGUGUUUAUUUUCAAACUCGGUAAAUGCAAUUGGCGUUAUUAAUCUGUUUAAAAAGCCACGUGUAAUGGCAUUAUAAAAGCAUCGAUUAUAGUCAUUUAUCUUUGCAGUUUCUUAAUAUUUUUAUUCAAAGAUCAGGAUAAGACAAGAAGACAUGUUUUUAAAGAUGAUGACCGACGUCUGACAGCUAUCAAUAAACCAAAUAUGCUUCCAAAAUUAUCUACAUGAUUAAAUUCUUUAAAUAUUAGUCCACAACAUUUAUUAUUAUUAUUUUAUUUAUUUUUUAGUGUUGAUGCUUUUUUUUUUUUUACUUUUUAGCAAAAUGUAAUUUUGGUCCUGUGUUUGUCUGUUUUUGUUGUUGUUUAUUAUAUCUGUUGUUGUUAACUAUGUCUUAGUUAAGUAAAGUCUCAUACACAUUUUUUACUCCUCUGGACAUAAAGCUGCAUGGUUAAAAAUAAAUGAAGAAUUCCAAAAAAAAACAAAAAAACAAGAAUGAAAUAUCAGAGAUGCUCAAAAUGACCCGAGCGGUCGAAACAGGGAAAGGAUGUGGAGAAAAAUAAAAUCUGUGGAUAUAAGACUAAACAUCGUGAGUUUCCCGAGGCUACUGACUGUUGUUAUGUGUUAUGACCCCGUGAGAGUCUCCUGCUGGACAAUACACCCAGAAACAAGACAUGACCCUGAUUCACUGUCACUGAUACUCACCCGUCUUUCAUCUGCUCUGUAAUACGAGGACAUAACUUUAAUAACUUGUACAAUAUGUUGGAUUAGCGCUGAUGUGGUUGUGUUCAAUUAAAUGCAACCCCUUUGCCACAUUGUAAAUAGUACUUGUUUGGCUAUGUGUUGAAUAAAUCAUAAAAUCAUGUCUUUUUUCGGUGGGGGGGGGGGUAGUUCACUUGGUACCACUGUUGAGUUUUGAAUGUAUCUGAAUGUCAGUAUUUGGUGACAACAACAGAUAAAGCAGAAUGCUUGGGAUGAUAUUUGAUUACAUUUAGUUAUGAACAGCCGUGAAUCAUGUUUCACUGUCUGUUCAACUGUAAUGAAGCAUUUCAGAUUAUAUCAGUUUUGUUUUUAACCCAAAUUCACAAUGUUGUGAUGCUACUGUGUCCAGUUCUGUAAAGGCACUUAUCUUUAAAGAGUAAUAAAA